CGUCAUUGGGUCACGUGACCGUGUCUCACCAAGUCACGUGACUACACACCGGUAGCGGUGAGGGACGCAUGGGAAGAGUCGCUGCAGGGGCCGUCCACCGGCGCAAUGCUGAACUAAAAAGAGCAGUGUUCGAUCACAACUAUGGAAUUGGCCAGGUUUAGAUGGCGAGCUAGGAACCCUGCAUUAAGGCAACCCGCCUGGAAGCUUGAAGCCCAGAUUAACUGAUGAGCUGUCAUCCACCUGCUCUGCUCUGAUCGGGCCGGUAGGAGGCUUUGCAGCCGUUCUUUUCCUUUUGGCCCUCAUUGGCCUUCAUACAAACUUCACUCCUUUCCUCCACCCCUGACCCUCUGGACACUCGAUUACUGGGCCAUUGGACAGUUGUAUGCUUUGGGACUCUCAGCACAUUAGAUGAAUGCAUUUUGUAAAUUGGGCUCAUUGAAAUGUGUAUUGUAAAUUAAUGUUGUGAAUUUGUACUGUUCUGUUUUUGCACUUUAUAAUAUAUGGUACCGCCACAGCUUCAAAUUGUGUGCCUUGCCUCUUUUCCUCACUCCCAGAGCCGAAAUCUGGAUUUUCUGAUUCUAGCCUAGAUCUUGCAAUUACCAUUGGGUUGUGUCUAAAGCUAAUGUUAAAUGCAUUGUACACGCUACAUUUUGUACUGUGUGUAGUGGCUGCAGUGCUUCUCAUUUGAUUUUGGAUGGUGUUUUUUUUUUUUAGUCCAAGAAGAUUUCAGCUUCACUGUGUUGCCAUAUCAAUGUAAUUCGACCACAGCCUUCAGAUUCAGGGUCCUGGACAGUGAGGUCACUGUCACAUGCACACUAUUAGCAAUGGGGCUGUAGUUGUUUGGGCAGUCAACCUUCACCUGACCUCAUGACUUGUUUUGGUCUGCUGCCCCCUGUUGUCUCUUUUCUGUCCUGCGGCAGACUCCUGCCUUGCUCUCCUGGUUUGCACACCUGUUGGCCAUUAGGCCUUUAUAUACCACUCCACUUCCAUUGUUCCUAUUGUCAGAUCGCGUGCCUUGUCAUGCCUGGUCCUGCCCGCACGUUUCAUUUUUGCUCCUGACCUUUUGUCUCUCUGCCCUGUAACUCGUAUUUUUGCUGCCCACUGUCUGGAAGUAGUUCAGCCACCAUGUAAUCCUUAUUUGCUACUUUGUACUCUUUUGUUUGUAUUUUUAGCUUCCCAGUGACCUACUGUCACUGGUGUCUUUUGUUGUACUUUGUUUUUCGUUCUCUGUGAGCGCAACAAAGCCAGCAUGCAGGUUCCCAGAUUUUCUAUUGGUUGAUCAGCGCAGGCCCCCUGUCCCGAUUUGUUCAAGCUAGGCAGAACUGUAUGACUAAGUAUAUGAAAAUAUGGGGCAUUAUAUUGGUAAAAUAGUAAGUACUAUUGUAAAACAACAGUAAAAUAGUAAAAUCAAUCUUACAGCAAUCACAUCUAGUUGUUGGUUGCAAUAAAUUGAUUACUUUUUUUUCACUCAUUUCUUCUUUUUUGCAUUUUCAAGCUUUA